ensembl:snRNA U2 U2 spliceosomal RNA
ACCGCUUCUCGGCCUUUUGGCUAAGAUCAAGUGUAGUAUCUGUUCUUAUCAGUUUAAUAUCUGAUACGUCCCCCAGCGGGGGACUACAUAUUAAGCGGAUUUUUAGAACAGGGAGUCGGCAAAGGAGCUUGCUCCAUCCGCUCCACGCAUCGACCCAGUAUUGCAGUGCCUCUGGGAGCGGUGCACUUUCU